rnacentral:rRNA from 1 species
CAGAGGGGGCAAGCGUUGCUCGGAAUCACUGGGCGUAAAGGGCGCGUAGGCGGGAUGGCAAGUCGGUCGUGAAAUCCUUCGGCUCAACCGAAGAACGUCGGCCGAUACUGCCGUUCUUGAGGGAUGCAGAGGAGAUUGGAAUUCCCGGUGUAGCGGUGAAAUGUGUAGAGAUCGGGAGGAACACCGGUGGCGAAGGCGGGUCUCUGGGCACCUCCUGACGCUGAGGCGCGAAAGCGUGGGGAGCAAACGGGAUUAGAUACCCCGGUAGUCCACGCUGUAAACGAUGACGACUAGGUGUGGGGGGGGUUAGUCCCUUCCGUGCCGCAGCUAACGCAUUAAGUCGUCCGCCUGGGGAGUACGGCCGCAAGGUUG